UUGUUUUGCCAAAACCUAACAUCUUCACAAGCUUCACCAAAGAAGAUGACCAUAGCACACCGACACCUACCUUCCCAAAGCCCGAAAAACCACCCGUCAGUGACCAAGAUUUGCAGCGGCAACCGGUGAACACGGUGGAAGACUCUGUUUCCUUCGUUUCCGAACAUCUCUGAUCUCUUGAAACGAAAGGCAUCUCUUGAAGGGAACGGCGGCGACCACUAUGGACAUCCAACCUCCGACGACCAAUCUUAGCUGCGACUGCCGACGACCACUCUAGAAGGAGUACAACGGCGACUAUAAGGAACCACCAUUUGCGCCAACGACCACUCCAUUAGAGCAGAGAACCACUGCAAAAUCACAUCCCCUGUUUUCUAAUAUUGCUUUGUAGUUUAAAUUGGUAUAUUACUGUAUUUUUUAAAGCUUAAAGCCUUAAACUUUGGAUUUA